rnacentral:rRNA from 1 species
UCUCAUCCUGGGGCUGCAGCAGGUCCCAAGGGUUGGGCUGUUCGCCCAUUAAAGAGGUACGCGAGCUGGGUUCAGAACGUCGUGAGACAGUUCGGUCCCUAUCCGCUGUGGGCGUUGGAGAUUUGAGUGGCGCUGCCCCUAGUACGAGAGGACCGGGGUGGACGUACCGAUGGUGUAUCUGUUGUCCCGCCAGGGGCAUGGCAGAGUAGCUAAGUACGGACGGGAUAAGCGCUGAAAGCAUCUAAGUGCGAAGCCCCCCAUAAGAAUAGAUCUCCCCCCGUAAGGGCAAGACCCGUGACAGACUAUCACGUCGAUAGGCCGGAAGUGUACGCAUAGCGAUAUGUUCAGCUGACCGGUACUAAUAGGUCGAAUACUUAACCUC